UAGGAUUAGAAUCAUAUAGAGCUAGUACAUAGUAAAGUUCUAUGGAAUGGCAAGGUAACUUGCUGCGCAAGCUAUCUAUUAUUACAAGUAAUCACAGUUUAACACCUCCCUCAAGCUUAGCUAGCAUGGUACAAAUCUAACAUGUUAAGCUUGGAUAGAAAAGAGUGAAAACUCUUAGGUGGUAGUGGCUUUGGGAAGAAGUUUGCAAGCAG
rnacentral:lncRNA from 1 species